rnacentral:rRNA from 1 species
UACGUAGGGGGCGAGCGUUGUCCGGAUUUAUUGGGCGUAAAGAGCGUGUAGGCGGCCAGAUAGGUCUGUUGUGAAAACUCGAGGCUCAACCUCGAGACGCCGAUGGAAACCAUUUGGCUAGAGUCCGGAAGAGGAGAGUGGAAUUCCUGGUGUAGCGGUGAAAUGCGCAGAUAUCAGGAAGAACACCCGUGGCUAAGGCGGCUCUCUAGUACGGUACUGACGCUGAGACGCGAAAGCGUGGGGAGCGAACAGG